rnacentral:rRNA from 1 species
UACGAAGGGGGCUAGCGUUGCUCGGAAUCACUGGGCGUAAAGGGUGCGUAGGCGGGUCUUUAAGUCAGGGGUGAAAUCCUGGAGCUCAACUCCAGAACUGCCUUUGAUACUGAAGAUCUUGAGUCCGGGAGAGGUGAGUGGAACUGCGAGUGUAGAGGUGAAAUUCGUAGAUAUUCGCAAGAACACCAGUGGCGAAGGCGGCUCUCUAGUACGGUACUGACGCUGAGACGCGAAAGCGUGGGGAGCGAACAGG